rnacentral:lncRNA from 1 species
GUUUGGGAGAGUUCUGAAAAUUCUAACAAGCCUUCUUUGUUUAUCUUCUCUAGGCUUCCGCAGCCGGUCUGCAUGUAGUUGGGAUAAAUUCAGCCCAGGAGGAAAAUCAGCGCUGCCUCCCCCUCUCUCCUCCCAUUUUAGGUGAGAGGAGGAGGUGCCGUGGGGGUAGAGAAAGAUUUGGAGAGCUCGCCAGCUGGUCUAAAAGUUUCCCUUCUGCAUAUACCGAAUCAAUCCAUGGUUGGUAGGGCCAGAGCACUUGGACGCUCGAGUGUGUAUCUGAGUAAGGACUGCAUAGAUGCUACCUCAGGAGCAAGAGGGUAGGGUAGACCCGUAAAGACAGAGCUGGGGACCUAGCUAGAUCAUGCAGAUUGAAGUGUCCUGCAACCAGCUGUGCCAGCUGUGAGCUGUACAUGUCGAGAUGCUGAGACCAUCAGAGCGAUCGAGCUCAGCUGAUCGCAGAUGAGUUUUCUUGCUGUAUGCUAAAACUCUGGCUAUAGUGUUAGUUACUAUUACAAACUGUGGCCCUGGGUCUUUCCUGUAGG